AUGCCUUUCGCUCCGCGUGCGUUCCACCAUAAAACGGACGUCCGCGCGCGGAACGUUAGGAGCCGGUUCUCCGUUAAACUCCUCAUCAGAACCGUCGAAGUAUAUCCACGUUAAAUUAGAUAUUUUUAAUCAAAACGUUUGUUUAUAUUUUAUAUUUUUUAUCGUCGACGUUUUCCCGCCAAUCGAGGAAGAAGCCCGGUGAGAAGGACGCGCAGAGGGGACUGUUGACGGUGUGACUCCGGACUCGGCAGCUGGACUCUGUGGCUCUCGUUGUUUCUCCACCUUCUCCGUCGAACCGCUCGAACUUUACCCGCCGUAGAUGAGCUGCAGAGCGGACAGUGAUGAAGACAGCUGCGGCAAACGGAGAGUGGCGUACGUGUACAGCCCGGAGUACAUCGAGACCUGCGACUCUCUGUCCAAAGUACCGAACCGGGCCAGCAUGGUCCACUCACUGAUAGAAGCCUACGGACUGCUACAACACAUGAGCACCGUCAAACCUCGGCUGGCCUCCAUCGAGGAAAUGGCAAAGUUCCACACAGACUCGUACCUGGAGCAUCUCCACAAGAUCAGCCAGGACGGGGACAACGACGACCCGCAGUCAGUCGACUAUGGCCUGGGUUACGACUGUCCAGUGGUGGAGGGGAUAUAUGACUAUGCGGCGGCAGUAGGUGGCGCCACGCUGACGGCGGCCCAGUGUCUGCUGGACCAAAAGUGUGACGUGGCCAUCAACUGGGCUGGAGGGUGGCACCAUGCCAAGAAGGACGAGGCGUCAGGCUUCUGUUACGUGAACGACGCCGUGUUGGGGAUUCUCAGACUGAGGGAGAAGUACGAGAGGGUCCUGUACGUGGACGUCGACCUGCAUCACGGAGAUGGUGUCGAAGACGCCUUCAGCUUCACGUCCAAAGUCAUGACCGUCUCCCUGCACAAGUUCUCUCCUGGAUUCUUCCCAGGGACGGGUGACCUGUGUGACACGGGGCUGGGUAAAGGCCGUUGGUACGCUGUAAAUGUCCCCCUUGAGGACGGCAUCAAGGAUGACCGAUACUACCAGAUUUUUACCAGUGUGAUGCAGGAAGUGCGGGCACAGUUCAACCCGGAGGCGAUGGUGAUGCAACUGGGCGCGGACACCAUCGCGGGCGACCCCAUGUGCUCCUUUAACAUGACCCCGGUGGGGGUGGGCAAGUGUCUGCAGUAUGUCUUGGGGUGGCAGCUACCUACACUGUUGCUGGGUGGAGGAGGUUAUAACCUGGCUAAUACGGCUCGCUGUUGGACCUACCUGACGGCAGCAGUGCUGGGAAAGACUCUUUCGUCCGAGAUACCGGACCACGAGUUCUUCACAGAGUACGGACCCGACUACUCGCUGGAGAUCAGCCCGAGCUGUCGACCGGACCGCAACGACACCAAACACCUGGACCAGGUUAUCAGCACCAUCAAAGGGAAUUUAAAGAAUGUGGUUUAGGAGUCAGCAGCCUCAGCCCUCCUCCUCCACCUCCUCCUCCUCCUUCUCCUUCCACACCAUGUUUCCAAACCAGGUCGGCGCUCGGCGGCUUUAAUGAAGACAAUAUGGAGCGGACCCCUUCGGCCCCGAGGCACGGAGCGAACGAGGGAGGGAUGAAGCCGAGUUUUGGAAAACAUUAGCUGAGUGUUUCCAGGGGAAAACAGUUUAAUAGGAGGAGGAGGAGGAGGAGGUGGUGGUUGCUGUACAAUGUUCACUGUUUUUAAUCCUUUUGUUUUCUGGGGGGUGAAAGGUAUGUAUGUUUGUGUGGCGUUUAAACGGGGAAAACAGAUUCGUCUGGUGUCACGUUCACCUCGGGGGGACAGAUGAGCGCUAAAACAGACGACGACGAAGGUUCGCCUCGUUUAGACUCUCCGAACAAGUCUGGAAAGAGUCUUGACAAGUCUUGAGAAACUUGGAAAGUUUACUAAUAAACAGUGUGGAAAAGGGUUCUGCCGGUUUGCACACAUUGUUUAGAGCCCUGGGCAACAAAAAGAAAUCUGCAAAUUAAAACAUCUGGACAGAGUUUUGAAUUUUAAAUGGAAAAUAUGCAGGGAAAGUUUUUUUUAUUUUUUCUUAUUUUCCCCCCCAAAAACAAAGAUUACAUGAACUUUUUUAGGAGGUUUUAGAUGAAAGCAGCUGUCCUUGACUUGUCCGGCACGACCGGAGACGAAAGUAAAAUCAGUUCAGGUCAGUAAACAAACAUCGAAGUCCGAAUUUAUCCUUUUAAACGUCUUUAAAUGUUUAAACGUCACAAUCUUCAAGUGGCAACCUCCAGUGUGGAAAGUUCCUCUUGUCGUCCACUUGAGGCUGGCUCCAGAAGUGAGUCAGUCUCCAUAAGUCCCCAUGUUCAAAUGUCCAACUUCACAGCAGAAAUAAACAUGUUUACAGCCUGGUACGACGGCCAAGAUCCUGGCUAAUCUAAAAAUCGGUAAAGACGUGGAUAAUCAAGCUGAAUGACGCCUGGUUGCUCAACCACCACAGAGGUUGCCACUUGGGUUCUAUGUUUGUAGAUGUUCUUCAAUGAAAACAUUGAAUCCAGUCUGCAAUACAAACAGUUAAUCUGUUAAAGAAUACAUAAAGUCUGUCUCUUUUUAUAAGCCGAUAAAAUCCUGAAACGUUUCUAAGAAAAGACUCAAAGUGUGUCUGAUUAUUUCCACGUCCGUCUGUUCAGCUGUUCAGAGUUUGUGAUGUGGCACCGCCGUCGUCGCGUUCCACCAGAAAUCUUUUAAAAUCCUCCUCAGAUGAAGCUGAGCUGCAUGCGAAGGCUCGAGAUGUUUGAGAAAUGAAUCAGAUCCGUUUUUUGGGAUUACUCUGAGUUUUUAAGGCCAAGUCCCAUUUUUUAAAUUUGUGACCAGAGAAACAUCCCAGCCUGGUUUUCCGAACUCCGUCUUCUAAAGUUCUUGCUCUGCUGUAAGAUCAAAAGCUCCAGAAGAAGAUGGACCAUGAGUCAAUGUUGAUAGUUUUUUGCUUUGUUUUUGUUUUUAAAGGUGCAGUGUGUCGGAUUUAGUGGCAUCUAGUGACGAAGUUGUAGGCUGCAACCAACUGAAUACCCGUCUGCAGAACAAAACACUAUUUGUUUAAUUUUCAGGUGAUUACACAGUAAUUAAACUCGUUAGACUCCCAUGCUACAAACUGGACCUUUCCGUCUUUAAAGGUUGCAUUGUCUUUCGUAACGCGAAGGAGAAAUUACCGUGCCGGUAAAAUAUGCGAAAUAUGACGUGCAUUAUAUUAAAUUUCUGACAUAGAGCCCUAUAAAUCUGACACAUUGCAUCUUUAAGAAGCUGCUGACUGAAAAUAAAAACACAUUUUUAACAUUUUUAACGUUUAAACUUCCAACAUGUUUAAUUCCCGACAUAUUUGUACGUCAAAAACUCGUCGUUUGACCAAAAAUCUACAAAUUCACAUGAAUUUUUUUGUGUAGAAAUAUUUUAACGUCUGUCAAAUUAACUGUUGUGUCGACUUGUUUUGUGGGUUUGUUUCCAUUUUUUUAAGCAUGUUUUGUUGAAAUAAAAAGACAGAAAAGCAGC